AGGAUUUAGAAGUUGUCUACCGAUGUUUGGGUAGCUAGAAAGGCUUCUACCAGAACGCCUAUGGAGGAGAACAGGCUACUGGCAAACCAGCUGAUGUGAAACCUAGAAGCCUAAACAGUACCCCAACAGAAGAAUCAUCAACAGGAAAGAAUCAUCCAUCACAGGUCCCAACAGGAAAAGAUGUACAUGGUGUCUCCUACAAGAAAUUGACUACCCCAGCAACUCAGCCAGUGAGAAACCGUCAUCACCCUGAACUCUCACUUUUCUCUGAUGGACUUUUUUCAAAAUAACCCCUUCCAUCUUGCUCCUUUUCUCUCUAU